UCAGUUCGGACUGGAGUCUGCAACCCGACUCCACGAAGCUGGAUUCGCUAGUAAUCGCGCAUCAGCCACGGCGCGGUGAAUACGUUCCCGGGCCUUGUACACACCGCCCGUCAAGCCAUGGGAGCCGGGGGUACCUGAAGUGCGUAACCGCGAGGAUCGCCCUAGGGUAAAGCUGGUGACUGGGGCUAAGUCGUAACAAGGUACC
rnacentral:rRNA from 1 species